rnacentral:misc_RNA from 1 species
UCCGCUUUACAGCGGCAGUCUCCCUAAAGUGCUCGGCUUACCCGGUAGCAACUAGGGACAAGGGUUUCGCUCGUUAAGGGACUUAACCCGACAUCUCACGACACGAGCUGACGACAGCCGUGCAACACCUGUGCUGGCUCCACCCUUUCGGGCGUCAUUCCCCUUUCAGGGAACUAAUUCCAGCAUGUCAAGCCCUGGUAAGGUUCUGCGCGUUGCAUCGAAUUAAACAACAUCCUCCACCGCUUGUGCGAGCCCCCGUCAAUUUCUUUGAGUUUCAGCCUUGCGACUAUACUCCCCAGGCGGGGCACUUAACGCUUUCGCUACAGUACCGAAGGGCUCGGGCCCCCCGAUACUUAGUGCCCACCGUUUACGGCCAGGACUAC